rnacentral:rRNA from 1 species
UCGCCUGUUUAUCAAAAACAUAGCUUAUUGAUUUUAUUGUAGGUAUUUUCUGCCCGGUGAUUAAUUUUAACGGCCGCGGUAUUUUGACCGUGCAAAGGUAGCAUAAUCAUUUGUCUCUUAAUUGGGGACUGGGAUGAAUGGAGUGACGAGAGGGGGGCUGUCUCUGUUUCUUUGCUUGAAUUUUCUUUCUAGAUGAGGAAGUCUAGAUUAUAAUGUAAGACGAGAAGACCCUAUUGAUCUUUAUUCUUUAUUAAUAAAUUUUUUUUACAUUUUUUUGUUUUUUGGGAUUUGGUUGGGGCAACUGGGGAGGAUAAAAAAAUUUUCUCUUUAUAUAUUUUGAUCCUGUAUUAUGGAUAGUAAGACUUAGUUACCAUAGGGAUAACAGCGUAAUUUUUCUGGAGAGUUCAUAUUGAUAGAAAAGAUUGCGACCUCGAUGUUGGAUUAAGGUUUCCGGAGGGUGUAGGCUUUCUCUGGGUGGGUCUGUUCGACCUUUAAAAUUUUACAUGAUCUGAGUUCAGACCGGCGUGAGCCAGGUUGGUUUCUAUCUAUUA